GGGCCCGCACAAGCAGCGGAGCGUGUUGCUUAAUUCGAUGAUACGCGAGGAACCUUACCAGGGCUUAAAUGUAAGUUGCAUAGAUCAGAGAUGGUCUUUUCUUCGGACUACUUACAAGGUGCUGCAUGGUUGUCGUCAGCUCGUGCCGUGAGGUGUCAGGUUAAGUCCUAUAACGAGCGCAACCCCUGUCGUUAGUUACCAGCAAGUAAUGUUGGGUACUCUAGCGAGACUGCCGGUGCAAACCGUGAGGAAGGUGGGGAUGACGUCAAAUCAUCACGGCCCUUACGUCCUGGGCUACACACGUGCUACAAUGGCCGGUACAGAGAGCAGCCACUACGCGAGUAGGAGCGAAUCUUCAAAGCCGGUCUCAGUUCGGAUCGCAGUCUGCAACUCGACUGCGUGAAGCUGGAAUCGCUAGUAAUCG
rnacentral:rRNA from 1 species